rnacentral:rRNA from 1 species
UCCCAGACUCCUACGGGAGGCAGCAGUGAGGAAUAUUGGUCAAUGGGCGCAAGCCUGAACCAGCCAAGCCGCGUGAGGGAAGACGGCCCUACGGGUUGUAAACCUCUUUUGCCGGGGAGCAAGCCUGAGCACGUGUGCCCAGGCGGAGAGUACCCGGAGAAAAAGCAUCGGCUAACUCCGUGCCAGCAGCCGCGGUAAUACGGAGGAUGCGAGCGUUAUCCGGAUUUAUUGGGUUUAAAGGGUGCGCAGGCGGCGUGUCAAGCAAGCGGUAAAAUAGCGGGGCUCAACCCCGUCGAGCCGUUUGAACUGGCGCGCUUGAGUUCAGGCGAGGUAGGCGGAAUUCGUGGUGUAGCGGUGAAAUGCAUAGAUAUCACGAAGAACUCCGAUUGCGAAGGCAGCUUACCAGUCUGCGACUGACGCUCAGGCACGAAAGUGUGGGUAUCGAACAGGAUUAGAUACCCGGGUA